CAGCCAUUUUUAUUUUCCUGGUUAUACGCAAACUCUUUCCUGGACUUCUUAACAAGCAGACCUGUGGUAGGAGAUGCUGCAGGAAAGACACAUGAUGAGAGGUAGAUGAUUGGACUGAGCCAGAGAGAAUGAGGGUUGUUUCAAGCCCGCAUAUACCCGGGAGCAGCCACCUCGUCACCGCGAAUACACUAACGCAUAAUGGGAGUUAGGUUCGUAUACAAAUGGAAUCUCUGGUGAAAAGUAGUUUCAAAGCGUCUAGUCCGACAAUAGUCUGUAAAAAAAAAGUA